CUAAAGCCACCUCCUUCAUUUAACACCUCAACCACAGACACAUUUAAGACCUGAUGGUAAAUUUCCAGUCUGAGUGUCUCUGUCUGAUGGUCACCAUGUUCAGCCUGAACCGAGCAGCUCUGCUUCAACUAUUAGUUAUGUGCCAAGUCUUUGCAGGUCAUCGUCUCGUGCACCACUGGGAUAUUCUGGUGUCCAGAGGAGAAUCUGUCACACUGACUUGCAACACAUCCGAGGAAAAGAUCACACAAGUCCACUGGACCAACGACAGAUUUAGUUUUAUUCAUUCAAUUCAACUUAAUAAGACUGUUUCGAAUCUAACCUCUCACAGACUGACAAUAGACGGAAACUUAUCUUUAAAGCUGAAUGUUUUUAAUGCUCAACAUGAAGAUGCAGGACUCUAUACAUGUACAGUAGUAACUGGUGACCGUGGCACAUGGACAACAGAGUGGAAUAUGACAGUGUCUGAGGCACCUGAAGGUAAGCACAGGACUAAUGACACAGGAGUCAGUUCAUCGUGGGAUUUUCUAUAUUUACUCAUAUAUGUGAUUGGACUUCUUCUCUGUGUCAUCGCUACAGCUGUCUGCCUCUGCAGAAAACUCCAGACGGGGACAUCAACCAGGACUCAGUGAGCAGCAGGACUCUGAGUCGUGUCCAGUUUCUUGUCCAGUUGGGAGGAAAGGCGUCUCCUCCUCAGUACCAGAGCUGUGUAGUGUACAGGAUGAAUCACCAGCAGAGGGAGACAAGAGGCUCAGUUCAGUGUUUGGUCUGACAAGAAUGACAUUCAGGUUAAAGUUGAAUAAGAAACAAAAGAGAUGUUAGACAGGACACAUGAUAUAUGAUGAUGUAAAUAAUAUGGAUCCAGCCUGGAGAAUGACGGCCUUGUUAAAACUGAAAGUGGAGAAACAGCAGUCAGUUUUUUGCAUCAUUAAUCUGGAACAAACUCCUUGAAAAUGUGAUUUAAAUCAGGACUCAAGACAUUUCUGUUUGCAGCAACCUUUUAUUACAUUAAAGUUUGGAUCAUUUAAUCUGAUUUCACACAGCUGCACUAUAAUAUUUGGUUUCAGUUUUUAUUCUUUCUAUUUUAGCUCAUCUUUCUAUUGAUGACACUUGUGUAUUAAAUAUGUUCUUACCUAUGUAUGGCUUUCAUUGUUAAUAUGCUGUGUUGAUUGUGUUACCACCUGUUGUGCAC